rnacentral:rRNA from 1 species
GAUGAACGCUGGCGGCGUGCCUAAUACAUGCAAGUCGAGCGAACAGACGAGGAGCUUGCGCCUCUGACGUUAGCGGCGGACGGGGGAGUAACACGUGGAUAACCUACCUAUAAGACUGGGAUAACUUCGGGAAACCGGAGCUAAUACCGGAUAAUAUAUUGAACCGCAUGGUUCAAUAGUGAAAUACGGUUUUGCUGUCAGUUAUAGAUGGAUCCGCGCUGCUUUAGCUAGUUGGUAAGGUAACGGCUUAGCAAGGCAACGAUGCGUAGCCGACCUGAGGGGCUGGUCGGCCACACGGGAGCUGGACCGGGCACCAGACGCCUGCGGGAGGGACCAGUCGGCAACCUUCCGCAAUAGGCGAAAGCCUGGCGGAACGACGCCACGUGAGUUAUAGCGGUCUUGCGAUCGUAAAACUCUGUUAUUGGGGGUAAACAGAUGUGUAAGUUACUGAGCACGUCUUGACGGUACCUAGUCAGAAAGCCCCGGCUAACUACGUG